rnacentral:tRNA from 1 species
GAGGGUAGAGCUCAGCGGUAGAGUGUGUGCUUAGCAUGCGCAAGGUUCUGGGUUCAAUCCCCAGUGCCUCCA